AUGACGGGACGCGCUGCAGCUAUCCUCGUGUUGAUGCUCUCGCUCCCGGCGGCGGCCCAUCUCGUCGCCGCCGACGGCGUUGACGCGGACACCAUCCGCCUCCCCAGCGACGGCGGCGAUGGUCUUGCAACGAACAAGGGAGGCGAGGAGCAGACGCCUCCUGACAAAGUAGUGGCGCCGACGGAGAGCGCUGGCGGCGCCCUCGAAGCAGAGAAGCCGUGGGCGUGCUGCAACAACACCGUGUGCAAGGAGUCGCUCCCGCCGGUGUGCCGCUGCCUGGACAAGGUGAAGGAGUGCGCCGCCGCGUGCGAACUGUGCGAGCCGUCCGGAAUCAACCACGUCUGCAACGACUGGUACCGUGGCGACCCAGGGCCCAUGUGCGCCUAG
rnacentral:rRNA from 1 species